UCUCUGGUAGUAUAGUGGUCAGUAUGUGAGCUUGUCAUCCUUCGACAUCGCUCGAGACCCGGGUUCAAUUCCCGGCCGGAGAG